rnacentral:lncRNA from 1 species
GCCGCCCCCCUCCGGAGCACAGGAAGGAAUGAAGAAGUUCCACCUGAGCCUCCCAACCACACUGGCUUCCUUGUGGUCCCAGCUGUCUAGAUGUGUUCUGAAUUUUAAAGGUGCGAUAACAAGAAUAUAUUUCCUCUGAAUCCAGAAGUCAGCCUGGGUCCUUGAGGUGACCUUGUGGUCUACUUUCUAGAGUCUAACUGCAGGAUGGCUCUACUCAGCAUGCGGUUACAUCAUGGAGUUCUUAGUACCGCAUCGGUCCUCCUCCACGGCAUCUGCCUCUGUGCUGCUUCCAGCCCGGUCUUCCCGUCCGUCUGCAGUGGCUUGCUUCUCAUCCAUGCCUUUCCAGACCUCUCCCAACUCACCCUUUGUUUUGUUCUUUUAUCUACCCUUGUCAUCCAGAGCACUUAGCUGCCGGUUCUGCUUUUAUAAAUAUUUUUAAAAAAAUAAACCCCUUCAUUCCUUCGUGAA